UACGAAGGGGGCUAGCGUUGCUCGGAUUGACUGGGCGUAAAGGGCGCGUAGGCGGUUCGUACAGUCAGACGUGAAAUUCCUGGGCUCAACCUGGGGGCUGCGUUUGAUACGUGCGGACUUGAGUGCGGAAGAGGGUCGUGGAAUUCCCAGUGUAGAGGUGAAAUUCGUAGAUAUUGGGAGGAACACCGGUGGCGAAGGCGGCGACCUGGUCCGAUACUGACGCUGAGGCGCGAAAGCGUGGGGAGCAAACAGG
rnacentral:rRNA from 1 species